rnacentral:siRNA from 1 species
UAUUUGGCGUGAUGUGAUAC